AUUGAACGCUGGCGGCAGGCCUAACACAUGCAAGUCGAACGAGAGGCGGACGGGAGAGUAAUGUAUGGGAAAGUGCCUGAGGGAGGGGGAUCACUAAUGGAAACGGUAGCUAAUACCGCAUACCAGCGGAUGUGCCGAGGUGGGAUUAGCUAGUAGGUGGGGUAAAGGCUCACCUAGGCGACGAUCCCUAGCUGGUCUGAGAGGAUGACCAGCCACACUGGAACUGAGACACGGUCCAGACUCCUACGGGAGGCAGCAGUGGGGAAUAUUGGACAAUGGGCGCAAGCCUGAUGCAGCCAUGCCGCGUGUAUGAAGAAGGUCUUCGGGUUGUAAAGCACUUUCAGCUGGGAGGCGUUACCCGCAGAAUAAGCACCGGCUAACUCCGUGCCAGCAGCCGCGGUAAUAC
rnacentral:rRNA from 1 species